CAUAGUCACGGUCGUCGUCAUCACAGUUAUCAUUGUUGACAUGCUUUUUGCUCAGCAUCAGUGUUGGCAUUAUAGAGGAAGCAAAAGACAUAAAAUGUCUUCUUUUCCCAGAAGUAAUUUCUAAGGGACCGGGAAGACAAGAAAAAAAGACACAGAGGCAAAAACAAUGUACCAGGGAAAUGCAGAACAGACUAUAAAUGCAAAGAGUUAAAAGUAGGGCUCACUCAGGUCAAGAUAGGAGUCUGAAAGGUGGUAACAAAGCCCAUCUCAUCAGCUUCUGCUCACAGGAAACCCGCCUCUUUCAUCAGCAGCUCCUGCCCUCCUCCAGGACAUAAACCAGUCUCACCUUCCCGGUCUCCCAGACAUGUUUCCCAUCACGAGCUAGGAAAAGGCACUGUGGGAUUUCAUGGAGCGUGGUGGUUGAGAAAUUUUACAGUCUGCAGAAUAAAGUGACAGGCUGUGUGGAUAUUUGUACAUAAAGAGUUUUAGACCUAA